rnacentral:rRNA from 1 species
UACGAAGGGGGCUAGCGUUGCUCGGAAUUACUGGGCGUAAAGCGCACGUAGGCGGCUUUCUAAGUCGGGGGUGAAAUCCUGGAGCUCAACUCCAGAACUGCCUUCGAUACUGGAAAGCUCGAGUCCGGGAGAGGUGAGUGGAACUGCGAGUGUAGAGGUGAAAUUCGUAGAUAUUCGCAAGAACACCAGUGGCGAAGGCGGCUCACUGGCCCGGUACUGACGCUGAGGUGCGAAAGCAUGGGGAGCGAACAGG